rnacentral:rRNA from 1 species
UACAGAGGAUGCAAGCGUUAAUCGGAUUUACUGGGCGUAAAGCGUGCGUAGGUGGUUUCGUAAGUCGGAUGUGAAAGCCCCGGGCUCAACCUGGGAACUGCAUUCGAUACUGCGAGACUCGAGUUUGGUAGAGGGUGGCGGAAUUCCCGGUGUAGCGGUGAAAUGCGUAGAUAUCGGGAGGAACAUCAAUGGCGAAGGCAGCCACCUGGGCCUGAACUGACACUGAGGCACGAAAGCGUGGGUAGCAAACAGG